rnacentral:rRNA from 1 species
GCUUUGAUCCAGAGAUUUCCGAAUGGGGAAACCCAGCAUGAGUUAUGUCAUGUUAUCGAUAUGUGAAUACAUAGCAUAUCAGAAGGCACACCCGGAGAACUGAAACAUCUUAGUACCCGGAGGAAGAGAAAGAAAAUUCGAUUCCCUUAGUAGCGGCGAGCGAAACGGGAAGAGCCCAAACCAACAAGCUUGCUUGUUGGGGUUGUAGGACACUCUAUACGGAGUUACAAAGGACGACAUUAGACGAAUCAUCUGGAAAGAUGAAUCAAAGAAGGUAAUAAUCCUGUAGUCGAAAAUGUUGUCUCUCUUGAGUGGAUCCUGAGUACGACGGAGCACGUGAAAUUCCGUCGGAAUCUGGGAGGACCAUCUCCUAAGGCUAAAUACUCUCUAGUGACCGAUAGUGAACCAGUACCGUGAGGGAAAGGUGAAAAGCACCCCGGAAGGGGAGUGAAAUAGAACCUGAAACCGUGUGCUUACAAGUAGUCAGAGCCCGUUAAUGGGUGAUGGCGUGCCUUUUGUAGAAUGAACCGGCGAGUUACGAUUUGAUGCAAGGUUAAGCAGUAAAUGUGGAGCCGUAGCGAAAGCGAGUCUGAAUAGGGCGUUUAGUAUUUGGUCGUAGACCCGAAACCAGGUGAUCUACCCUUGGUCAGGUUGAAGUUCAGGUAACACUGAAUGGAGGACCGAACCGACUUACGUUGAAAAGUGAGCGGAUGAACUGAGGGUAGCGGAGAAAUUCCAAUCGAACCUGGAGAUAGCUGGUUCUCUCCGAAAUAGCUUUAGGGCUAGCCUCAAGUGAUGAUUAUUGGAGGUAGAGCACUGUUUGGACGAGGGGCCCCUCUCGGGUUACCGAAUUCAGACAAACUCCGAAUGCCAAUUAAUUUAACUUGGGAGUCAGAACAUGGGUGAUAAGGUCCGUGUUCGAAAGGGAAACAGCCCAGACCACCAGCUAAGGUCCCAAAAUAUAUGUUAAGUGGAAAAGGAUGUGGCGUUGCCCAGACAACUAGGAUGUUGGCUUAGAAGCAGCCAUCAUUUAAAGAGUGCGUAAUAGCUCACUAGUCGAGUGACACUGCGCCGAAAAUGUACCGGGGCUAAACAUAUUACCGAAGCUGUGGAUUGUCCUUUGGACAAUGGUAGGAGAGCGUUCUAAGGGCGUUGAAGCAUGAUCGUAAGGACAUGUGGAGCGCUUAGAAGUGAGAAUGCCGGUGUGAGUAGCGAAAGACGGGUGAGAAUCCCGUCCACCGAUUGACUAAGGUUUCCAGAGGAAGGCUCGUCCGCUCUGGGUUAGUCGGGUCCUAAGCUGAGGCCGACAGGCGUAGGCGAUGGAUAACAGGUUGAUAUUCCUGUACCACCUAUAAUCGUUUUAAUCGAUGGGGGGACGCAGUAGGAUAGGCGAAGCGUGCGAUUGGAUUGCACGUCUAAGCAGUAAGGCUGAGUAUUAGGCAAAUCCGGUACUCGUUAAGGCUGAGCUGUGAUGGGGAGAAGACAUUGAGUCUUCGAGUCGUUGAUUUCACACUGCCGAGAAAAGCCUCUAGAUAGAAAAUAGGUGCCCGUACCGCAAACCGACACAGGUAGUCAAGAUGAGAAUUCUAAGGUGAGCGAGCGAACUCUCGUUAAGGAACUCGGCAAAAUGACCCCGUAACUUCGGGAGAAGGGGUGCUCUUUAGGGUUAACGCCCAGAAGAGCCGCAGUGAAUAGGCCCAAGCGACUGUUUAUCAAAAACACAGGUCUCUGCUAAACCGUAAGGUGAUGUAUAGGGGCUGACGCCUGCCCGGUGCUGGAAGGUUAAGAGGAGUGGUUAGCUUCUGCGAAGCUACGAAUCGAAGCCCCAGUAAACGGCGGCCGUAACUAUAACGGUCCUAAGGUAGCGAAAUUCCUUGUCGGGUAAGUUCCGACCCGCACGAAAGGCGUAACGAUUUGGGCACUGUCUCAACGAGAGACUCGGUGAAAUCAUAGUACCUGUGAAGAUGCAGGUUACCCGCGACAGGACGGAAAGACCCCGUGGAGCUUUACUGUAGCCUGAUAUUGAAAUUCGGCACAGCUUGUACAGGAUAGGUAGGAGCCUUUGAAACGUGAGCGCUAGCUUACGUGGAGGCGCUGGUGGGAUACUACCCUAGCUGUGUUGGCUUUCUAACCCGCACCACUUAUCGUGGUGGGAGACAGUGUCAGGCGGGCAGUUUGACUGGGGCGGUCGCCUCCUAAAAGGUAACGGAGGCGCUCAAAGGUUCCCUCAGAAUGGUUGGAAAUCAUUCAUAGAGUGUAAAGGCAUAAGGGAGCUUGACUGCGAGACCUACAAGUCGAGCAGGGUCGAAAGACGGACUUAGUGAUCCGGUGGUUCCGCAUGGAAGGGCCAUCGCUCAACGGAUAAAAGCUACCCCGGGGAUAACAGGCUUAUCUCCCCCAAGAGUUCACAUCGACGGGGAGGUUUGGCACCUCGAUGUCGGCUCAUCGCAUCCUGGGGCUGUAGUCGGUCCCAAGGGUUGGGCUGUUCGCCCAUUAAAGCGGUACGCGAGCUGGGUUCAGAACGUCGUGAGACAGUUCGGUCCCUAUCCGUCGUGGGCGUAGGAAAUUUGAGAGGAGCUGUCCUUAGUACGAGAGGACCGGGAUGGACAUACCUCUGGUGUACCAGUUGUCGUGCCAACGGCAUAGCUGGGUAGCUAUGUGUGGACGGGAUAAGUGCUGAAAGCAUCUAAGCAUGAAGCCCCCCUCAAGAUGAGAUUUCCCAACUUCGGUUAU